rnacentral:rRNA from 1 species
CUCGGUGACGAUGGCGGAGAGGUCACACCCGUUCCCAUCCCGAACACGGAAGUUAAGCUCUCCAGCGCCG